GCCUACGGGAGGCAGCAGUGAGGAAUAUUGGUCAAUGGACGAGAGUCUGAACCAGCCAAGUAGCGUGAAGGAUGACUGCCCUAUGGGUUGUAAACUUCUUUUAUAUGGGAAUAAAGUUUUCCACGUGUGGAAUUUUGUAUGUACCAUAUGAAUAAGGAUCGGCUAACUCCGUGCCAGCAGCCGCGGUAAUACGGAGGAUCCGAGCGUUAUCCGGAUUUAUUGGGUUUAAAGGGUGCGCAGGCGGCGAGUUAAGUCAGCGGUAAAAUUUCGGGGCUCAACCCCGACGAGCCGUUGAAACUGGCUUG
rnacentral:rRNA from 1 species